AAAUGUGUGAUUUUUGUUUAAAUGGGGUAUUUUUGAAGAGAUAAUGCAUGAUUUUGGGGUAAAUGCGGGAUUUUCCAAGAGAAAAGGCGAGAUUUUGGGGUUGAAUGGGGGACUUUGCAAGAGAAAUUGUGCGAUUUUGGGGAUAAAAGGGGGAUUUUUGAAGAGAAAAUGUGUGAUUUUGGGGAUGAAUCAGGGAUUCUCAAAGAGAAAAUGCCUCAUUUUCGGGUUAAAUGGGGGACUUUGGAAGAGAAAUUGCAUUUUCUUCUUGUCAAAUGGGGGAUUUUCGAAGAGCAACUGCAUGAUUUUCGUUUACAUGUGAGAUUUUUGUAGAGGAAAUGCGUGAUUUUUUGGAAACAUGGGGGACUCUUGUAGCAAAAAAGUUUGAUUUUGGGGUCAAACGGGGGAUUUUUGAAGAGCAGAAGUGUGAUUUUCACGUUAAAUGGGGGAUUUUCCACAGAAAAUGUGUGAAUUUGUGGAUAAUGGGGUAUUUUUGAAGAGAUAAUGCAUGAUUUUGGGGUAAAUGUGGGAUUUUCCAAGAGAAACGUUAAGAUUUUCGGGUAGAAUGGGGGACUUUGCAAGAGAAAUUGUGUGAUUUUGGGGAUUAAAGGGGGAUUUUCGAGAAAAUGUGUGAUUUUUGUUUAAAGGGGUAUUUUUGAAGAAGAUAAUGCAUGAUUUUGGGGUAAAUGCAGGAUUUUCCAAGAGAAAUGGCGAGAUUUUCGGGUUGAAUGGGGGACUUUGCAAGAGAAGUUGUGUGAUUUUGGGGAUAAAAGGGGGAUUUUGAAGAGAAAAUGUGUGAUUUUUGUUUAAAUGGGGUAUUUUUGAAGAGAUAAUGCAUGAUUUUGGGGUUAAAUGGGGGAUUGUUGAAGAGACAGUGCAUGAUUUUCGGGUUAAGGGGUGAUUCUAGCAGAGAAAACGCGUGAUUUUCGGGGUUAAACAGCUAUUUUUGAAGAGAAUGUGCGUGAUUUUCAGUUUAAAUCAG
ensembl:lncRNA